GCUGCCCGGGCUGAGCUAGUUUUUAAAGUAGCCGAGUCGAAGGGAUCCUACGGAGACCUCUUAUUUGUUCCUUUCUAAGGCCCUGUGGGACCCUCCCCUGUCCCGGACCCUGGGGACCUCGCGGAAGGCGGCUGUGAGUGCCAUCGCGCAAGCAGCUCCCGAGCUGAGGCGGGCAGUGGAGAUAGACCGACAGCCCCCGACGGCAGGGUCACAGGCAGAGCUGGGGAGGACGGUCACGGUCACCCAAACAGAAACCCACACAAUGAAGAAAACCAGGUAUUAGGAUCGUAACAGCUCGGCUGCCGAGAAAUGGGUCACGCACAUGAUUUUUAUGGAGACCGCAUUUUAUGAGCCUUCGCACGGCAAUCUGUGAACAGAGAUUUGCUAGGACAUCAGCGUGAAUAAAUGGGGUGGAAGCCAAAUGUGUUGUGCAGGAAUUUCUAGAAGCAUCCUAUAACUUCCAAAGUUGUGAAAAUGCUCCUUCUUCUAGAGACGCACUACAGCCUGCUUGUCCUGCCUCAGGAGAGCCGAUUGUAAGGAAUAUUUGGACCUACUUGUUAAAAGCAGUCAUUAUUAAAAAUUAAGUUAUCUCUACCUCCAGGGACAUCACAUCGGUAGUUUGAAAUCAGCCAAAGUGGGAAGAUGGACACCAUGAAAUCCACAGAAGACACUUCUGGAAAACAGUCCUCUCCUUUGUACACACACAUGGUGUCACUGAGACGUGAGGGGCCCCCGGAAGUUUGCGUUGUUGGCAGGUGGCCUCUGCACAGUGUACAAGCUCAUUUAGAAACCUCCCGAAUCUGUCUAUGAACCACCGCUAGUAAAGGAGAAACCAUCGUACCGGAACAUUGUCACAAAAAAGACGCAACGACGCCAUUGCCUAACCAAGAUCUUUGGGGAUGUGUGUCCGAAUGCUUGCGUGACACCAGCCAGGAAUUCAUGGAGUUGCUUCAAAACGCAGAGGGCAGGUGCAUCUCAGGCCUCGGUUCCAAGGACUUGCUAGGACAGAUUCUUGCAGAGAACAUCCAGAAAUAAAGAAGUCAGCCCUCACACAAGGCAAGAAUUGUUUGCCGAACUUUGGCAUUAAGCCAACCAUCUUGAUGUUUGCUCAUUCAACACCAACUGGGUAAAUACGGAGAGAAAACACUCAUCUCAGGGUAACAGCUCAGAGAACAGGCAGCUUGGCUGGAAAUUUAGCGGUAACCAUCUCAUAGAAUUAAAAGACUUCCAUUUACAUGCACCUUAAGAACCAGUUCUGGACCACAUUUGGGUAUAUUAUAUGGGUCUCAUUCUGGGCUGCGAGCUUAAUGGGGAUGUGUAAAAGGAGAAACAAUUCUCGCUGAACGGCAGCUGGAAAGGCAACUUGCUUUUGAGAAAGCUGUAACAACUCGUGAGAUUACACAUGGCAAUUUUCACACACUGAUAUGCUCACGAUUAAAGAAAAGUAAUAUUUAAAUGAUUUUCGCUACUUCUAAUUUUGGCAGUACCGGGCCCAAAGCACUGGGACUUCUCGAAUGGCUGGUGUGAUUUUUAUGGAGCCGGCCUUGAAUGUAUUGUUGGCCACGGCAGGGAGCUGGGCCGCUGGAAGAACUGAAUGACGCGGCGGGGAGAACAAAGCUCCCUAAGAGACUUGGAUUUUUUUUUUCCCCCGCUGGAAUAUGGUGGAAAGAAUGCUGGGCCAGCUGGCUCUAUUCUGACCCCGGUAGCUCUCUGAGCUGGUUGGACAUCCCUCCAGGAAGUUUUUGAUUUCUGGGGGCUGGGCCCUCCGUCUUCUAACACAGAUUGCCAGCAACUCGGGCACUCCUACUGGGUCAGAAUCUCUGAGCGGGUUGUAUUUUCAGGAAUCUUUUUGGGUGGUUCACGAGCGCAGGCAGGCGUGUCCCACUGCAAGGAGAGCAGGAAGAACCCCAGGCGUUGGAGGGACACCAACAUUUGACCUUCAGGAGAUUAUUUCACCUUCUUGAGUCUCAGUUUACGCCUCUGUA